rnacentral:ncRNA from 1 species
CAAAGGUUUGGUCCUAGCCUUUUUAUUAGCUUUUAGUUGACUUAUACAUGCAAGCAUCCCCGCCCCGGUGAGAAUGCCCUCUAUAUCUUCUCAGAUCAAAAGGUGCAGGCAUCAAGUUCACUCAUUCUACCGUAGCUCAUAACGCCUUGCUUAACCACACCCCCACGGGACACAGCAGUAAUUAAAAUUAAGCAAUGAACGAAAGUUCGACUAAGUCAAACUAAGAUUAGGGUUGGUAAAUUUCGUGCCAGCCACCGCGGUCAUACGAUUAACCCAAGUUAAUAAAGCACGGCGUAAAGCGUGAUUAAGAAAAUUAACCAAUAAGACUAAAUCAAUACUAAGCUGUAAAAAGCCCUAGUAUAAAUAAAAUAAAACACGAAAGUAGUCUUAAAAUUUCUGAAUUCACGAUAGCUAAGACCCAAACUGGGAUUAGAUACCCCACUAUGCUUAGCCUUAAACACAAAUACUUAAUAAACAAGAGUAUUCGCCAGAGAACUACUAGCAACAGCCUAAAACUCAAAGGACUUGGCGGUACUUUACAUCCCUCUAGAGGAGCCUGUUCUAUAAUCGAUAAACCCCGAUAAACCUCACCACCUUUUGCAAUCUCAGUCUAUAUACCGCCAUCUUCAGCAAACCCUAACAAGGCCUCACAGUAAGCACAAGAAUUUUACAUUAAUACGUUAGGUCAAGGUGUAACCUAUAAGGUGGGAAGAAAUGGGCUACAUUUUCUAUUAACUAGAACACUUACGAUAACUUUCAUGAAACCUUGAAAGUCAAAGGCGGAUUUAGUAGUAAGUUAGGAAUAGAGAGCCUAGCUGAAUAGGGCAAUAAAGUACGCACACACCGCCCGUCACCCUCUUCAAAUAUUUUAUGUUAUACUUAUAUAUAAUUUCAUUUAACUUAAAUUCAUAUAAGAAGAGAUAAGUCGUAACAAGGUAAACAUACUGGAAAGUGUGUUUGGAAUAAC